CCAAUAGCGUAUAUUAAAGUUGUUGCAGUUAAAAAGCUCGUAGUUGAAUUUCGAGACCGGUCUACUGGUCGUGCUUUUGUACGUACUGGUUUUAUUGGUUUCUCCUUUCUGACGAACUAUAAUGCCAUUAAUUUGGUGUUAUGGGGAAUCAGAACUGUUACUUUGAAAAAAUUAGAGUGUUUAAAGCAGGCUAACGCUUGAAUACAUUAGCAGUGAAUAAUGAAAUAGGACGUUUGACUCUAUUUUGUUGGUUUUUAGGAUCGACGUAAUGAUUAAUAGGGAUAGUUGGGGGCAUUAGUAUUCAAUUGUCAGAGGUGAAAUUCUUGGAUUUAUUGAAGACUAACUACUGCGAAAGCAUUUGCCAAGGAUGUUUUCAUUAAUCAAGAACGAAAGUUAGGGGAUCGAAGACGAUCAGAUACCGUCGUAGUCUUAACCAUAAACUAUGCCGACUAGGGAUCGGAUGAUGUUAAUUUUUUAAUGACUCAUUCGGCGCCUUACG
rnacentral:rRNA from 1 species